rnacentral:rRNA from 1 species
AUCCUGGCUCAGAAUCAACGCUGGCGGCGCGCCUAACACAUGCAAGUCGAGCGAGAAAGGGGAGCAAUCCCUGAGUAAAGCGGCGUACGGGUGAGUAACACGUGGAUGAUCUACCUUCUAGUGGGGAAUAACCCUGGGAAACCGGGGCUAAUACCGCAUAAGCACGAGAGUGGAAAGCAGCAAUGCGCUGGAAGAGGAGUCCGCGGCCGAUUAGCUAGUUGGCAGGGUAAAAGCCUACCAAGGCAAAGAUCGGUAGCCGGCCUGAGAGGGCACACGGCCACACUGGCACUGAAACACGGGCCAGACUCCUACGGGAGGCAGCAGUGGGGAAUCUUGCACAAUGGGGGAAACCCUGAUGCAGCGACGCCGCGUGAGCGAUGAAGCCUUCGGGGUGUAAAGCUCUUCGGCAGGGAAGAUUAUGACGGUACCUGCAAAGCAGUGCGGCUAAUACUGC